UACGGAGGGUGCAAGCGUUAAUCGGAAUUACUGGGCGUAAAGCGCGCGUAGGCGGUUGUGUAAGUCGGAUGUGAAAGCCCCGGGCUUAACCUGGGAAUCGCUUUCGAUACUGCACGGCUAGAGUCUGGGAGAGGGAAGUGGAAUUCCGGGUGUAGCGGUGAAAUGCGUAGAUAUCCGGAGGAACACCAGUGGCGAAGGCGACUUCCUGGCCUAAGACUGACGCUGAGGUGCGAAAGCGUGGGGAGCAAACAGG
rnacentral:misc_RNA from 1 species